rnacentral:rRNA from 1 species
GAUGGGAGCUUGCUCCCUGAUGUUAGCGGCGGACGGGUGAGUAACACGUGGGUAACCUGCCUGUAAGACUGGGAUAACUCCGGGAAACCGGGGCUAAUACCGGAUGGUUGUUUGAACCGCAUGGUUCAGACAUAAAAGGUGGCUUCGGCUACCACUUACAGAUGGACCCGCGGCGCAUUAGCUAGUUGGUGAGGUAACGGCUCACCAAGGCAACGAUGCGUAGCCGACCUGAGAGGGUGAUCGGCCACACUGGGACUGAGACACGGCCCAGACUCCUACGGGAGGCAGCAGUAGGGAAUCUUCCGCAAUGGACGAAAGUCUGACGGAGCAACGCCGCGUGAGUGAUGAAGGUUUUCGGAUCGUAAAGCUCUGUUGUUAGGGAAGAACAAGUGCCGUUCAAAUAGGGCGGCACCUUGACGGUACCUAACCAGAAAGCCACGGCUAACUACGUGCCAGCAGCCGCGGUAAUACGUAGGUGGCAAGCGUUGUCCGGAAUUAUUGGGCGUAAAGGGCUCGCAGGCGGUUUCUUAAGUCUGAUGUGAAAGCCCCCGGCUCAACCGGGGAGGGUCAUUGGAAACUGGGGAACUUGAGUGCAGAAGAGGAGAGUGGAAUUCCACGUGUAGCGGUGAAAUGCGUAGAGAUGUGGAGGAACACCAGUGGCGAAGGCGACUCUCUGGUCUGUAACUGACGCUGAGGAGCGAAAGCGUGGGGAGCGAACAGGAUUAGAUACCCUGGUAGUCCACGCCGUAAACGAUGAGUGCUAAGUGUUAGGGGGUUUCCGCCCCUUAGUGCUGCAGCUAACGCAUUAAGCACUCCGCCUGGGGAGUACGGUCGCAAGACUGAAACUCAAAGGAAUUGACGGGGGCCCGCACA